AAAUAUGAAGAGUCGAGCCUGCCCAGUGAUAUAUAUUUAACGGCCGCGGUACUCUGACCGUGCAAAGGUAGCAUAAUCAUUUGCCUUAUAAUUGAAGGCUUGUAUGAAUGGUUUGACGAGAACAAAGCUGUCUCUUUUUAAUUCUAUAAAACUUGAUUUUUAGGUGAAGAAGCCUAAAUAAAAUUGAAAGACAAGAAGACCCUAUCGAGCUUUAAAAACUUUUACUAAUAUAUAAUGACUAAAGUAGACAGACUAUAAUAAAAGAUUUUAGUUGGGGCGACUAAGGAACAAGAAAGCUUCCAUUUUUAAAUUAAGGCGGAUUAGCUAUGAUCCAAAAUUUUUGAUUAAAAGAAUUAGUUACCGUAGGGAUAACAGCAUAAUCUUUUUUGAGAGCUCUUAUCGAAAAAAAGGUUUGUGACCUCGAUGUUGGACUAGAAUAUCCUAAACGGUGCAGAAGUCUUUAAGGGUUGGUCUGUUCGACC
rnacentral:rRNA from 1 species